rnacentral:misc_RNA from 1 species
AUAUUGCGGCCACGGGUUAGCCUGUGGCCACGCCUGUCCGAGGGUCGGCUUAUAAACUAUCGCGACGCCCAAAAAGUCGCGGCUUGGGUUUUGCCAGCUGGCGUGAUUUCCCCAACCUGGCCUCGUGGCUGUGGGGUGCCAGAUCUGUGGCGUUUCCCUAACAUAUCCGGGCGUACCCAUGUUGUGGCUGAAAGCUUUGAUGGGGAUGUGGCAACGGAAUCGUGGCUCAGUGAUUGAUUUGUGCGCGUUCCGCUAUCCUAUCAUCGUCUAUGGUUGAUGUUGCGCGUGGUGUGUGCCCGAUGCUGACCUAUGUAUGUGCCAUGUGGCUCAUUCUCCUGACCUCGGAUCAGACGUGAGUACC